GUCGUGGUGAUCUCGUUGAAGGUUCCGUGCAAGCGUUGAAACCGUAUGGUGCCUUUAUUGAAGUCGGUGGCAUGUCCGGACUCCUACAUAUUUCACAAAUCUCGUAUGAUCGGAUUGAAGAUCUGGAAAAGGUCUUACAA
rnacentral:ribozyme from 1 species